rnacentral:rRNA from 1 species
GACGAACGCUGGCGGCGUGCUUAACACAUGCAAGUCGAGCGGAGCGGCGACCGGGUGAGUAACGCGUGCGUAACUGCCCCCCUCUCUGGGAUAACAGUUGGCAACGGCUGCUAAUACCGGAUAGUGGGGGAUGACUCGCGUCCUAUCCGCUUGUUGGUGGGGUAGUGGCCUCCCAAGGGGACGACGGGUAGCCGGCCUGCGAGGGGGACCGGCCACAUGGGUCUGAGAUACGGCCCAAACGGCUACGGGAGGCAGCAGUGGGGAAUAUGGCACAAUGGGGGAAACUCUGAUGCAGCAACGCCGCGUGCGUGAUGACGGCCUUCGGGUUGUAAACCGCUUUCAGCCAUGACGCGGUAGUGGCAGAAGAAGCACCGGCUAACUACGUGCCAGCAGCCGCGGUAAUUC